CACUGUGGUCGGAAGAUGGCGUUGAGUCUGAUCGACUCGGAGACUGCUGCAGUGCACUGGAAAAUCGUGUUUAAUCUCCCUUUUAGAAAAUGGAAGAUUUGGGGGUGACAAACCUGCUUCAGGAGUGGGACAUUUAGUUCCAAUCUUUAGAGAAGAUGAGCACGAAGAAGACACCUACUGGAUGCAACAUAACUCAUCACCUGACAACGUUAUUGUUAAUGUGACGAACCUCGGUACCGAGAUAUGAGUGGACUAGACGAAACCCACGACCAAGCACAGCAGAAAUUCUUGACAAAUAUCUACAGCUUUUGGGAAUGAUUGAUCAAGAUAUUUAUUGACGAUGCAGCUCCUGGUGCCCUUUAGAACUUGCGGAGAAGAUUAAUCCAGGGUAUAGAAAGAUCCUAGCGGCCGGAGUGGACAAGAAAAUGUUUCAGUGUCAACAAUAAAAAUUUCAGUGUACUUCCUGUGAAUUUGAUCGGCAGAACGCAAGGGGAGAGAGGCAGAUGUUCCGUACUUCAAAGUCUUGAAUCUUUCAUGAAUCUCCAACCAGAAGGAGCAUGAAGAAAAAGAAGAUGAACAGGCAUUGACGAUGACGCGUUCCAUACCUGGGAGAGUGAUUUCACAGUGGCACUUUUUUCCCUUCCGAUCGGCCUUGGGGAGGGGUUCAAAAUUUCAAUACAGUAUUUAUGAAGUCAUUAGUUAUGCAAAUUCUCUCUACUAUCCUGGCGGUGACAUAUAUAUCUCAUUGCAUAAUUUAAUCAUAAUUCACUUGUGAUUUGUAUGAUACUGUAUGCUGAAUAACAACCAAAACGUUGUGACCAUUUGGGGUUUAAAAAUCUUUAAAACAAGAAAAGACAAGAACUAUAUAAACAAAUUUCCUCUACAAAUUCUACAGGAUCCAAAAUACCAAGGGCCAAAUAACUGCUUGGCCAGGUUAGUUGGUACUUUUGACAUGGUCAUGUUUGCAGUAAAUUGUUGAAAAUCUGAUGAACCUUGCCUUUAAACCUUAUAUUGGCAGCCUUACAUUGACAUUUACAUACAGUAUUUUAGGUUUUAUGAGCAAGUAUAUGAAAAAGGUGCUAAUUAACACCUACUUCCCCUUCUUAACCCUAAACAGGCCGGGGGGGGGGGGGGGGGUUAAAUCAACAUCCCCCAACAUUUUCUGCGAUCAUUCCGCCGCGCGAAAUUUUUUGACCCCGCCACUCGCAGAGUUUAUACUUUAAAGUCUCGCUUAUCUUUUGAGACCUAAUUCACGAUGCCCAGGUACGCGGUUCCGAAAGUACGCAACAUUUUGUAAGUGCAUGUCUGAACAAAAAUUGUUCCAAAACGUGAUUUCGUCUACAAAGUCAAUGCAAAUUGAGUUUUCUCAUCUUAUUCAUAAAGUUAUGAUUAUUUUUACUUUAAACAGCUGAAAUCAAUUGAUUUUAGCAUAAUUAUGCUUCAAAAAGGUUGUGCUAUAAAUCUGGUGAAAAAAGAAAAGGUUGAAAAUCAAAGAAAUUCAUAAACAAUAAAAUACACAAGAAAUUGAUUUCCAAACCGAAGUUUUUUUCAAUUGCGAUUGUUAAGAAUGCUACAAAGAAUAUUUUUACUAAAAAUUAGCAUUCUGGGAGCUUUAUGUAGUGAAUUAGAGCAAAAGAUAUGAUUUAUGCAUAAAUUAGCAUAAUUAAUUCAUAUAAAAUAAAAUCUCAUUAUUUUGGAAAAUUUUACCAUACAGCCUUGUAGAUUACAUCGCACACUACCAGCGUGCAAAAUUUUGCGGUGCUCGCGCGAUCGGCGGCCGAGAUCUCGGGGGGGGGGGGGGGGUUGAAUCAACCCCCCGCCACAGAACAGCCAAAAAAAGCCUGGUCUAGUUGGGGUUAAGAGGAGUGCUUGUUUGUUAUUCUAUUGAUUACAUGUAAAUAUUUUUAGGUCAAAUGGCAUUUUUUUUUAUAACAGUUGGCUAAUUUGAAGAGUUGUUUGAAUAAUUUCACCUUUUGGUGCAGAAGAACAGUUCUCCUUGUUAUUAUCUUUUUUGUAAAAACUUUAAGUCCAGUACACAGCAUCUUUCCAGAUUUCAUGCAAAUACAAGAAAGAAUCUUCUAAGGCAUAUCUGAAACACUUGGAUGACAAUCUUUAUUGCAAUAGGAGAUUGUGAUUGAACCCAAAUAUCUCUGCCAAGGCUUUUAUUCCAAUUUGUAGUGCCAGGAUAAAUUUGACUCAUUUCGAUACUUUCUCAAUGCUAAUUAUGAAUGUUCCAUCAUUGAUUUUAUUUAAAUAUUCAGCAACUGAACAUUUGCUCAAUGCAUUAAAACCGAAUGAUCUUUUGUACCAUAAUAGGGUACCACCCUUUUAUUUUUCAUCCAUUGCACACUUAUUUCACUUUGGCCUGCAGUAAUGCUGACCUUGGGUCUGCAAUAGGACAUAUGUUUCAUAUGUGCUUUGCUCAUAUUGUAUUCAGUGGCUUAAAAUAGAUUUAAUGUUUAUGAGUCUUGUUAUUUGCAAUGUUUCAUGAAAAUGUUUUAAAGACAACAUUUUUGUCUAAAGUUAUCAUGCCAAUAUUAAAUGUUAUUUUCAUUUAUGUAUGUAUCAAAUAGCUAAUUGAAAUAUGAAAAAAUGUGAAUUCUUCACUGUUGCAAGUUAUUUAUCAGAGUACUUCUGAAAUAUAAUGCCUGGACUGAGAUUUUCUGCAUAUUGAAGAUCACUGCAAGGAUCCCCAUCUUUUUAGGAUAACGUUAAUCUUCUGCAUUUGUGAAAGCACACAGGCGUCUGAUUUUCUUGUAAAAAGAGGGGGGGGGGGCAAUAGAUUAAAUUACUGUUACUGAAACCAGGGAUAAGAAAAUUACUGCUUUAAAAAAAUAUAUAUUGAUAACAAGAGGGCAGCAAAUACAUCAAUGAUAAGUUAUGGACAUUUCUUCAUAUAUUUUGUACACAUUUCAAAAUUUUCUACUUUUCCCCGUGCAGGAGUGAAUCUACUCGUCCGUGUUCCGAUAUAGUAUGUCAGAGUCUUCCACAGUGUUGCAUAGUGUUUUUAAGUGAUACCUUGUAAGAAAGAUUGGGGAGUAUUGCCUCCUAUGUAUAUGUAAUGUAAAACAUGCAUACUGUGCAGGUGUGAAAUGCAAGAAUAAAUAUCUUGAAUGAAA